UACAGAGUGUGCGAGCGUUAAUCGGAAUUAAUGGGCGUAAAGCGUGCGUAGACGGUUACGUAAGUCGGGUGUGAAAGCCCCGGGCUCAACCUGGGAAUUGCAUUCGAGACUGCGCAGCUAGGGUGCGGAAGAGGGAAGCGGAAUUUCCGGUGUAGCGGUGAAAUGCGUAGAUAUCGGAAGGAACAUCAGUGGCGAAAGCGGCUUCCUGGUCCAGCACCGACGUUCAGGCACGAAAGCGUGGGGAGCAAACAGG
rnacentral:rRNA from 1 species